GAUGACGUCAGUCUAGAGCGCAGUGCCAUUGCAAUGCCAAGCUGUCAACCAUGCGGUUUGAGGAGCUUCGGGUGUCACAUUUAUCGAGAAGCGAUGCGUAAACCGUGUUGUUGACGUUACGCGCAGAAAAGCCUCGGCUUACUUCGGCCCGGCAGCGGGAUAUCCGGAGGUCCAAGCGUCUAUCGGAAUUACUGGGCGUAAACGCGCACGCGGGCGGUCUUUAACUUGAGAUGUAAAAUCCCGGGUCUACCCUGGACCCGCUUCUAGAAACUACCAGGCAUGAGUCUUGUAGGAGGGGGGGUAGAUUUCCAGGUGUAGCGGGAAAAGGCUGUAGAUAUGGGGGGGAAUCCCGGGGCGGAAGGGCGCCCCCCUGGACAAAGCCUGCCGUUCGGGUCGAAAAGCUUGGGGGACCAACCGGGUUUAGAUCCCCGGUUGGUCCCCCCCUUAAAGGAGGUAGCUUUGCAGGUGGUUCCCUUGAGUAGUGGCUUCCGGAGCUACCGCGUUAAUUCGCCCCCUUGGGGGGUCCGCCCCCAAGGUUAAAAUUCAAAUGAAUUGCCGGGGGCCGGCCCAGGCGGUGGGGCAUGUGGUUUAUUUGGAUCCAACGCGAGGACCCUUCCCUACUCUUGCCUUCCAGGGACUUUCGCAGAGAUGCUUUGGUGCCUUCGGAACCGUUGAGACAGGUGCUCAAUGCCGGUCUUCAGCUCUUGCUGUGAAAUGUUGGGUUAAUUCCCUCACCGGGCCCAACCCUUAUCCUUGGUUGCCACCGAUUCGGUCGGGAACUCAAAGGAGACUGCCGGUGAUAAACCGGAGGAAGGUGGGGAUGACGUCAAGUCAUCAUGGCCCUUACGAGUAGGGCUACACACGUGCUACAAUGGCGCAUACAAAGAGAAGCCACCUCGCGAGAGCAAGCGGACCUCACAAAGUGCGUCGUAGUCCGGAUCGCAGUCUGCAACUCGACUCCGUGAAGUCGGAAUCGCUAGUAAUCGUGGAUCAGAAUGUCACGGUGAAUACGUUCCCGGGCCUUGUACACACCGCCCGUCACACCAUGGGAGUGGGUGCACACA
rnacentral:rRNA from 1 species